CUACGGGGGGCACCAGUGGGGAAUAUUGGACAAUGGGGGAAACCCUGAUCCAGCAAUGCCGCGUGUGUGAAGAAGGCCUGCGGGUUGUAAAGCACUUUCGGUUGGGAGGACUGCUUCUAGCACUAAUAUUGUUGGAAGUUGACGUUACCUUCAGAAGAAGCACCGGCUAACUCCGUGCCAGCAGCCGCGGUAAUACGGAGGGGUGCAAGCGUUAAUCGGAAUUACUGGGCGUAAAGCGCGCGUAGGCGGCUAGAUCAGUCGGGUGUGAAAGCCCCGGGCUUAACCUGGGAACUGCAUCCGAUACUGUCUAGCUUGAGUACAGGAGAGGAGAGUGGAAUUCCAGGUGUAGCGGUGAAAUGCGUAGAUAUGUGGAGGAACACCAAUGGCGAAGGCAGCUCUCUGGCCUGAUACUGACGCUGAGGUGCGAAGGCGUGGGGAGCAAACAGGAUUAGAUACCCCCGUAGUC
rnacentral:rRNA from 1 species